rnacentral:rRNA from 1 species
CAGCACCUCAAGUGGUCAGGAUGAUUAUUGGGCCUAAAGCAUCCGUAGCCGGCGCUGUAAGUUUUCGGUUAAAUCUGUACGCUCAACGUACAGGCUGCCGGGAAUACUGCAGAGCUAGGGAGUGGGAGAGGUAGACGGUACUCGGUAGGAAGGGGUAAAAUCCUUUGAUCUAUUGAUGACCACCUGUGGCGAAGGCGGUCUACCAGAACACGUCCGACGGUGAGGGAUGAAAGCUGGGGGAGCAAACCGGAUUAGAUACCCGAGUAGUCCC